rnacentral:tRNA from 1 species
UGCGGUCGUGGCGAAAUUGGCAGACGCACUAGCUUGAGGUGCUAGCGCCCGCAAGGGCAUGAAGGUUCAAAUCCUUUCGACCGCAU